GACGAACGCUGGCGGCGUGCUUAACACAUGCAAGUCGAACGGAAAGGCCUGCUUUCCCUUGUGGAUUGCGGGUACUCGGGUGGCGAACGGGUGAGUAACACGUGAGUUAUCUGCCCCCAACUGGGGUAUAAGCCUGGGAAACUGGGUCUAAUUCCCGAUAGGACUGCAGGGUGGUGCCUGUGGUGGAAAACGAUUUUCUAGUGGUUGGGGAUGAGCUCGCGGCCUAUCAGCUUGUUGGUGGGGUAAUGGCGUACCAAGGCGGCGACGGGUAGCCGGCCUGGGAGGGUCGACGGUCACAUUGGGACUGAGACACGGCCCAGACUCCUACGGGAGGCAGCAGUGGGGAAUAUUGCACAAUGGGCGGAAGCCUGAUGCAGCGACGCCGCGUGGGGGAUGACGGCCUUCGGGUUGUAAACUCCUUUCGACCGCGAGGAAGCCACCUGGUUGGAAGGGUGGUGACGGUAGUGGUAGAAGAAGCACCGGCUAACUACGUG
rnacentral:rRNA from 1 species